UUGACAUCCAGAGAACUUAGCAGNGAUGCUUUGGUGCCUUCGGGAACUCUGAGACAGGUGCUGCAUGGCUGUCGUCAGCUCGUGUUGUGAAAUGUUGGGUUAAGUCCGCAACGAGCGCAACCCUUUAUCCUUUGUUGCCAGCGGUUCGGCCGGGAACUCAAAGGAGACUGCCGGUGAUAAACCGGAGGAAGGUGGGGAUGACGUCAAGUCAUCAUGGCCCUUACGGCCAGGGCUACACACGUGCUACAAUGGCGCAUACAAAGAGAAGCGACCUCGCGAGAGCAAGCGGACCUCAUAAAGUGCGUCGUAGUCCGGAUUGGAGUCUGCAACUCGACUCCAUGAAGUCGGAAUCGCUAGUAAUCGUAGAUCAGAAUGCUACGGUGAAUACGUUCCCGGGCCUUGUACACACCGCCCGUCACACCAUGGGAGUGGGUUGCAAAAGAAGUAGGUAACUUAACCUUCGGGAGGGCGCUUACCACUUUGUGAUUCAUGACUGGGGUGAAGUCGUAACAAGGUAGGCGUAGCGAG
rnacentral:rRNA from 1 species